rnacentral:rRNA from 1 species
GGGUUGUGAGGUUAAGCGACUAAGCGUACACGGUGGAUGCCCUGGCAGUCAGAGGCGAUGAAGGGCGUGCUAAUCUGCGAUAAGCGCCGGUAAGGUGAUAUGAACCGUUAUAACCGGCGAUACCCGAAUGGGGAAACCCAGUGUGAUUCGUCACACUAUCAUUAACUGAAUCCAUAGGUUAAUGAGGCGAACCGGGGGAACUGAAACAUCUAAGUACCCCGAGGAAAAGAAAUCAACCGAGAUUCCCCCAGUAGCGGCGAGCGAACGGGGAGGAGCCCAGAGCCUGAAUCAGCAUGUGUGUUAGUGGAAGCGUCUGGAAAGGCGCGCGAUACAGGGUGACAGCCCCGUACACAAAAGCGCAUGUGCUGUGAGCUCGAUGAGUAGGGCGGGACACGUGGUAUCCUGUCUGAAUAUGGGGGGACCAUCCUCCAAGGCUAAAUACUCCUGACUGACCGAUAGUGAACCAGUACCGUGAGGGAAAGGCGAAAAGAACCCCGGCGAGGGGAGUGAAAAAGAACCUGAAACCGUGUACGUACAAGCAGUGGGAGCNNNNNNNNNNNNNGGGCGUUAAGUUGCAGGGUAUAGACCCGAAACCCGGUGAUCUAGCCAUGGGCAGGUUGAAGGUUGGGUAACACUAACUGGAGGACCGAACCGACUAAUGUUGAAAAAUUAGCGGAUGACCUGUGGCUGGGGGUGAAAGGCCAAUCAAACCGGGAGAUAGCUGGUUCUCCCCGAAAGCUAUUUAGGUAGCGCCUCGUGAAUUCAUCUCCGGGGGUAGAGCACUGUUUCGGCUAGGGGGCCAUCCCGGCUUACCAACCCGAUGCAAACUGCGAAUACCGGAGAAUGUUAUCACGGGAGACACACGGCGGGUGCUAACGUCCGUCGUGAAGAGGGAAACAACCCAGACCGCCAGCUAAGGUCCCAAAGUCAUGGUUAAGUGGGAAACGAUGUGGGAAGGCCCAGACAGCCAGGAUGUUGGCUUAGAAGCAGCCAUCAUUUAAAGAAAGCGUAAUAGCUCACUGGUCGAGUCGGCCUGCGCGGAAGAUGUAACGGGGCUAAACCAUGCACCGAAGCUGCGGCAGCGACACUGUGUGUUGUUGGGUAGGGGAGCGUUCUGUAAGCCUGUGAAGGUGUGUCGUGAGGCAUGCUGGAGGUAUCAGAAGUGCGAAUGCUGACAUAAGUAACGAUAAAGCGGGUGAAAAGCCCGCUCGCCGGAAGACCAAGGGUUCCUGUCCAACGUUAAUCGGGGCAGGGUGAGUCGACCCCUAAGGCGAGGCCGAAAGGCGUAGUCGAUGGGAAACGGGUUAAUAUUCCCGUACUUGGUGUUACUGCGAAGGGGGGACGGAGAAGGCUAUGUUGGCCGGGCGACGGUUGUCCCGGUUUAAGCGUGUAGGUGUGUGUUCCAGGUAAAUCCGGUUCACUUUAACACUGAGGCGUGACGACGAGGCACUACGGUGCUGAAGCAACAAAUGCCCUGCUUCCAGGAAAAGCCUCUAAGCAUCAGGUAACAUCAAAUCGUACCCCAAACCGACACAGGUGGUCAGGUAGAGAAUACCAAGGCGCUUGAGAGAACUCGGGUGAAGGAACUAGGCAAAAUGGUGCCGUAACUUCGGGAGAAGGCACGCUGACACGUAGGUGAAGUGAUUUACUCAUGGAGCUGAAGUCAGUCGAAGAUACCAGCUGGCUGCAACUGUUUAUUAAAAACACAGCACUGUGCAAACACGAAAGUGGACGUAUACGGUGUGACGCCUGCCCGGUGCCGGAAGGUUAAUUGAUGGGGUCAGCGCAAGCGAAGCUCCUGAUCGAAGCCCCGGUAAACGGCGGCCGUAACUAUAACGGUCCUAAGGUAGCGAAAUUCCUUGUCGGGUAAGUUCCGACCUGCACGAAUGGCGUAAUGAUGGCCAGGCUGUCUCCACCCGAGACUCAGUGAAAUUGAACUCGCUGUGAAGAUGCAGUGUACCCGCGGCAAGACGGAAAGACCCCGUGAACCUUUACUAUAGCUUGACACUGAACAUUGAGCCUUGAUGUGUAGGAUAGGUGGGAGGCUUUGAAGUGUGGACGCCAGUCUGCAUGGAGCCGACCUUGAAAUACCACCCUUUAAUGUUUGAUGUUCUAACGUGGACCCGUUACCCGGGUUGCGGACAGUGUCUGGUGGGUAGUUUGACUGGGGCGGUCUCCUCCUAAAGAGUAACGGAGGAGCACGAAGGUUGGCUAAUCCUGGUCGGACAUCAGGAGGUUAGUGCAAUGGCAUAAGCCAGCUUGACUGCGAGCGUGACGGCGCGAGCAGGUGCGAAAGCAGGUCAUAGUGAUCCGGUGGUUCUGAAUGGAAGGGCCAUCGCUCAACGGAUAAAAGGUACUCCGGGGAUAACAGGCUGAUACCGCCCAAGAGUUCAUAUCGACGGCGGUGUUUGGCACCUCGAUGUCGGCUCAUCACAUCCUGGGGCUGAAGUAGGUCCCAAGGGUAUGGCUGUUCGCCAUUUAAAGUGGUACGCGAGCUGGGUUUAGAACGUCGUGAGACAGUUCGGUCCCUAUCUGCCGUGGGCGCUGGAGAACUGAGGGGGGCUGCUCCUAGUACGAGAGGACCGGAGUGGACGCAUCACUGGUGUUCGGGUUGUCAUGCCAAUGGCACUGCCCGGUAGCUAAAUGCGGAAGAGAUAAGUGCUGAAAGCAUCUAAGCACGAAACUUGCCCCGAGAUGAGUUCUCCCUGAGACUUAGAGUCUCCUGAAGGAACGUUGAAGACGACGACGUUGAUAGGCCGGGUGUGUAAGCGCAGCGAUGCGUUGAGCUAACCGGUACUAAUGAACCGUGAGGCUUAACCUUACAACGCCGAAG